UUCAGUUAUACAUGCUUUUUCCGUUGCUGUCAAUAAAGAUAAAAAAUUAUUUUUUCAUUACUUUUUAGUUCUCAAUUCUAACACCAGACUAUCAAAUAGCCAAACACCAGUCUAUUGGCAGUAUGUGAUCAUUUAUAUUAGCAUUUAUAUCUAACAAUUUAUAGCUAAAUUGCUAUUACCUAAAUAGCUAAUUGCUAAGAACAAUUAGCUUUUAGCAAUUAACUCUUAGCAACUAGCUAUUUAAAGCUAAAUCAACUUAAUAAUGUACCCACAUUUGUUACAUGAGCCGUUUAGGUUUCUAUAUCGUGCCACAAAUUUGCAUCACACUGCACCGAUUCUUAAUAAUUUAGUACUAACUGACAGCUAGUGGAGGUUUUUGCUGAGCAAAUAGUCUGCAGUUCAGUUUGAAAAGGUCCCCUGGACCAGGGUCUGACAAGUUUAAAAAAAAAAAAAAAAAGAGCAAGAAAGAAGAAAUGGGAGGGAACAUGAGAAUAAACGAGAUAAAUAAGACAUAGUGAUGGAAAACAGGAAGAAUAAGCAACCGAGAAGAUGAGAUAGCACUGAAAAAAAGCAAGUGUCCUGUUUAGGUGGAUGGCUGAGGUCAAUAAAGUGCAGCCUGGUGGAAGAGAAAGAGCCUUACUGCAGUUUUUAUGAGCGGGCCUUUCUCCCUGUUCAUAUGGGGUGGCCUCUCAUAACAGAAGGAAAACAACUAAUCAAUAAUUGAGGAGAGCGGAAAACACCGUGUGCACAGGAACUCCCUAAGGGGAUCCCUUUGCUGUGGAAUAUGUGUUUUGACUUGAGUGUCUAAGUCCAGGUAUUUCUUUUCCUUUUUUUUUUUUUUUUUGCUUGUGUAUCAAAAGGGCUCAUUAUUUUAAACUCUUAUACAUAAUACAGCAGAAACACAUAUCUUGUUAUUCCAGAGCAUGCUUUGCAGAGCUUAUACACAGGGUCAGUGCUUUAAGAGUUACAAAAGACAUAUCUCUGAGGUUAAAAUGUUUCUUUUAUGUGGGCUAUAACAUUUUCAAAGGUCAGCGUGUGCAAAUAAAUCCAAAUAAAUUGUCACAGAUGUGAAUUAAUUAGAUAACCAAGAUAAUAAUAAAAAAAUAAAACAUCACAACAGUAUUUUGAUAGG
ensembl:lncRNA